GACGAACGCUGGCGGCAGGCUUAACACAUGCAAGUCGAACGCACCGCAAGGUGAGUGGCAGACGGGUGAGUAACGCGUGGGAACGUACACUUCGGUUCGGAAUAGCUCCGGGAAACUGGAAUUAAUACCGGAUACGCCCUUAGGGGGAAAGAUUCAUCGCCGAAGGAUCGGCCCGCGUCAGAUUAGGUAGUUGGUAGGGUAACGGCCUACCAAGCCGAUGAUCUGUAGGUGGUCUGAGAGGANGAUCACCCACACUGGGACUGAGACACGGCCCAGACUCCUACGGGAGGCAGCAGUGGGGAAUAUUGGACAAUGGGCGCAAGCCUGAUCCAGCCAUGCCGCGUGGAUGAAGAAGGCCCUAGGGUUGUAAAGUCCUUUCGGCGGGGAAGAUAAUGACGGUACCCGCAGAAGAAGCCCCGGCUAAUUUCGUGCCAGCAGCCGCAGUAAU
rnacentral:rRNA from 1 species